UUCCCUACGGACGCAGCAGUAGGGAAUAUUGCACAAUGGGGGAAACCCUGAUGCAGCGACGCCGCGUGAAGGAGGAAGUAUUUCGGUAUGUAAACUUCUAUCAGCAGGGAAGAAAGUGACGGUACCUGACUAAGAAGCCCCGGCUAACUACGUGCCAGCAGCCGCGGUAAUACGUAGGGGGCAAGCGUUAUCCGGAUUUACUGGGUGUAAAGGGAGCGUAGGCGGCGAUGCAAGUCAGAAGUGAAAGCCCGGGGCUCAACUCCGGGACUGCUUUUGAAACUGUAUGGCUAGAUUGCAGGAGAGGC
rnacentral:rRNA from 1 species